rnacentral:lncRNA from 10 species
GUAAUAUAUUAGUACACCAUUAACAUUAAACCUUGUAGUUGUGUAACUUUGGUGCAGUAGGCUGAAUAAUGGCCCCUGAAAACAUCCAUGUUGUAAUCCCUGGAAACUGUGAAUAUUAUAUCAACAAAGGACUGUGAGGAUGUGAUUAAAUUGAGGAUCUUAAUGUGGGAAGAGUACCCUGGAUUAUCCAGGUGGGCCUAAAUGUAAUCACAAGUGCCCUUAUAAAAGAGGUGGAGGGAGGUGUGACACAGAAGAGAAGGAAAUGAGACUGUGGAGGCAGAGAUUGGAAUGAUGUGGCCACAAGCCAAGGAGUGCCAGCAGCCAUGAGAAGCUAGCAGAGGCAAGGUCCAGAUUCUAUCCCCAAUGCCUCCAGCCAGAACCAGCCCUGCCAACUCCUUAGGUUUAACCCCUAAGAUUCAGUUCAAACUUCUGGCCUCCAGACUGGAAGAAGGUAAAUUAUUCAUCCUUUCAGCCACCAAGUUUGUGAUAACUUGUCACAGCAGCCAUCUGAAACUAAGACUUUUGGGAAAGUCAUUUAAGCUCUCUACUAAAACGCCUGUCACACUUGGAUGUUGAUUAAAUUGGGUAGCACCUAAAAAAUAUUUUCUCUUUCUUCUCCUACUUUCCUGGAAAAAAAAAUGAGUAAAAGUUUAAAAACAGGGAUUCUUUACAGCAGAAGAAGGGAGCUCUAAAUGGAAACCGAAUAACUUGAAGAACUCAGACAUUCAUUAUUCAGAGGGCAGUUAGUAGCUGGUUCUACCUUCAGCGAGUGUGAAAUAAGGACAAGUGGACUUGCAACUGCCGUUAGCAACAUUUAAGUCAAAUGUCAGUGGUAAGGUGUGUUCUCUUGGCCUCUGGAGGUCUUGAAAAACUGAGAAUAAUUGAGACUCUAAGCAGACAUCAUUUCAAUUACUUUUUGAGGCUCACUACAUUCCUGUGACUCUUUAGCAUAACAUUUGUAGAAAUUCUUACUCAAACCAGGUGUUCAGAAAUGCCAAGUAACUAGAAAGUGAUGGUUAUGCAAUACUAAGGCUGGCUAUUUCAUAGCAUUAAGGAGUCAUCAUUAAUUUUUAGUUUUACUAAUGGCAUUGUAAUCAUGUUUAGAAAAAGAUUGCUCUUUUAAAGAUACUUUCUGAAAUAUUUAUGGAUUAAAUGAUAGGAUUGAGACUUGCUUCAAAAUAAACUGGGGAGAAGAGGAAGUGAGUCAGAGAGAUGAAACAAGUUUCUCAGGAGUUGGUAAAACGUUGAAGCUGGUGAUGGUCACAGGGAAGUAUAUGAUACUAUUCUUGCAACUUCUGUAUAUAUUUACACUCUUAUAAUAAAAGGAAGGAGGGGAGGGAGGGAGAAAGGAAAGGAGGGUAUCAAGGAGGAGGGGAGCCAAGGGGAGGUGGGGAGGAAGGGGAGGGGAGGACAGGGAGAGAAGGAGGAAGGAAGGGAUGGAGAGUGGGGAAGGCAAAAGGGAGGGGAUAAGAAGGAGGCAGGGAGGGAGGAAGGGAGGGUGUUGUGUCUAUUCUAGUCUGGAUUUGGUCUCUGUUGCUAUAUGGCAUACUGUAUUAGGCCGUUCUUGCACUGCUAUGAAGAAACGCCUGAGACUGGGUAAUUUAUAAAGAAAGGAUGUUUAAUUAGCUCAUGGUUCUGCAGGCCUUACAGGAAGCAUGGUCCUGGCAUCUGCUUGGCUUCUAGGGAGGCCUCAGGAAGCUUACAGUCAUGGCAGAAAGCAAAGCAGGAAUAGACACGUCACAUGGCAAAGGCAGGAGCAAGCAAGGCAGUGCAGGGGGUGGUGCCACACACUUUUAAAUGACCAGAUCUUGCAAGAACUAUCACAAAGGCAGCACCAAGGCAUCCUGGUGCUAGUCCUAAAUCCCCAGGCAUCCUGGUGCUCACUUCUUCCUUAAACCAGACAUGUAGUAGGUAGGACCUGCCACAAGCUUGUCUAAGAACUUGAGAAAUACCUUUGUGCUAACAUGAGGCAAACCUUUAACAAUAAAUUGAACCAUAUUGAAACUGCUGUUAUUCUCAAUCAAAAAGUGACAGAUAUUGGCAGUUCCAUAUGGUACAAAAUACCCAUUUCUGAACAUUAGUUACAGCUUCUCCGGUAACAUUAAUCAGCCUCUAUAAAAUAGAACAGCGGUCUCACAGCAUAGAAGCCACAAGACAAUGGCCCACCAUAACCAUCUAGACAGAAACAAUAGCAAGUGCCCCUAAAACUCCGAGUUAAACAUAAAAUAAACGCUUGAGGAAGAUUUCAGGCAUGUACACAAGCAAUUGAGAGACCAAAAGCAAACAAUAAAAAAAAAAAACAGGAAGAGCAAGUAAAGUCACCAAGUUACCUAUAUCAGCAUAUUUAAACCUCCACAGGAAAAAAUAAAAUGAGAUAUCAGCAUAUCUAAAGGUGAAAGAUCUUUUAACUAAAGUAGGGUGGUCAGCAAAAUGGGAGAAAAGAGAAGCCACAGAGGCAGAGAUUAGCAGUGUAUAUGGCUGGAAAGUGGGAUCUGGGAGGCAACAGACUCCAACUGCUCAGUAUCAGUGAAGGUUUUAUCCCUAACAUCAAACCGAACUCACCAGACUCAGAGACUGGAGCCCUGAACAGCUCAGGUGUCGCCUCCUCCAGGAAGCCUCUUCUCUCUUUGCUCUCUCUCUCCACACAGAGAGAUAAAGAGGUGAGCCAAUUGACCCCUGUUUCCUGUUGGCCUGAAGGCCCCCAGAGGAUAAGGAUGGAGUCUCAGUCUGCUAUUCCCGGAGGCUGCCCUGAACAUAUAUCAGAGCAAGCACUCAGGAAAUGCUGAAUGAAAACAAGCGGAAGUUGAAUACAAUCUCCAGGGCAGAGGGGAUGGGAAAGAGAAAAUCGACUCAGGUGGCACAGGUGCUUGGAGAGUCAAUGGCCUUCCAAACCGCCAUAAAGUACUGCUGUGGACGAAAACAAAUCUGAGGAACUGGGAGGAGAAAAAGCAGUCACAGGACAAGAAGAAAGAACUGGAAAGAAUUACAGGAUAAAACUCCCUGAAGUGGUCGGGUCUCCCACAAAUGAACCCUGAUGCCCAGGACCAAUCAACACAGAAACAGGCAGUGCCUCAGUCCCUGGCCAGCAUCCCUGAGAGUGCGUGUUCAGCCACUGACUCAAGUCUUGGAGAAAGAAGGAACCCAGCAUGUCACCAUGUGGGAAUGAGGAAGAGGAGCCCUGUGUGGAUGGUGGGGAAGCUCAGAGAGGCUAAAAUAAACACAAGGCACUGCAACUUGUGGCAUGGAGGCCUAGGGAUGUGGCAGGGAUUCUAACUGAAGAGUAUGGCAGGGACCGGGCUGAGAAGGGGCUGGGGGAAGGGUUUGCAGCCGGCCAAGCCCAGAGGGAAGCCACCACCACCACUCAUGCCACACAGCAAGCCGCUCUCCAGCAAUUAAUAUGAGACACAGGCAGAAACUCAGUUCCUACACAGGUCCAACUGUCAAAGCUCCCCUUACUCUACUUGGUCUCACCAGUGAAGGCAUUUCUAGGCUCUUACAGAGCCACAGUUUCUGCUGUGUCUGCCAUGCAGUGUCCUCAGGGACAGACCCUCAGAGCCUAUUCCAGCUUCGAGGGGCAUUCUAGAAAACUGUCUCUGUAAAUAAGUGUAUCUGAUGUCUGGAUUAGGAAAGGGAAGAUACAUAAGCCAGCAUUUUCCC